CAUUUGUCUAGAGACCAGAAAACAUUGAAAAAUAACACAAUCACAUCAAAACAACAUGGCUAAUUAAAGCAAUCUUGAAAAAGAAAGAAGGAAACAAAAAUGGAGGGGGAAAAGAAGAAGAAGAAGCUGUGUAAAAGAGAGAACUUACAGCAAACCUCAAAAGGAGACAUGAUUUGCCAACACCCGAAUCUCCAAUGAGCAAAAGCUUAAACAGGUAGUCGCUGCAAAUAAGAAAAAAAAAAGAAAAAGAAAAAAAAAAGUGGAAAUAAUGUCUGUAUCAAAAUGUUGGAAAGUACACAGGAAAAGAAAAUAGUUUCUUAUAAUUUCUCCACAAAAAAUAAAAAUCAAUGUGCAAGACCACCCUGUUCCCACAAGUGAAUAAAGUAAAUUGAAAGCUUAAGAGACUUAUAAAAUUAUUCAAAAAUGAUAAUACACACACACAAGCAUUUUGUGCUUUUGGUCAUAAAUAUUACUACCUCUAAAAGUACAAAAGGGUUUCCAAUCAUUACAACUCAACAGCAUUAUCUAUGCUCAUGCAGAAAGGUUGAAUAAUUAAUCAGUUAACAAUUUAGAAAGGAAAUUGAUAAAAGAAUAAUCCGCCACACUUGCUUGCAUGCAUAAUGAGACAACAGAUAUUCUAGCCUAAACAAGUCAAGCUUCCCAAGCUUCUAAUGAACUCAUUAGCUGUAGAGCAAGGUACCAAGUUAAUGCAGAGAAAAUUUACAUCUUUUGAUUAAGUACCUGAUCUAGAAGGCCUUUUUCUUGGCACUUAAAUGAAAGCUAAGAGCCUGCUUGGAGACUGCUCGGAGACUGCCUGACUAGGCACCACACCAUGCUACGCCACGCCUCAUAGAGGAUUCUUGUAAGCCCUUCAAGAAAAAGCUGCUACUUUUUGUUUAAGCGAUUUCAUUAAUUUCAGAAGCUAUCUCAUGGAGUCUGCUCAGAACUGGAACUACAAAACAUUGGUUAGUCACUAACAAAUUAUGCCUAGUCUUGAGGGUCUUUUUGGGCAAAAUGAAACCUCAAACUGUUUGGUAAUGAUUUUGUUUUCUAUUUUAAUUUUCCAAGAAAAUGCAGGUGACUUGUUUGGCAAAAUGUUUUCAAAAACUGCUCUUAGAAACAACCCACUAACCAGGAAAACAACCCAAACAGUUGUUUUCGGAUUUUUGAAAACUGUUUUCGCACACUGUUUUCUAACAUACCCAAUUUAUGAGCUAUAUUCAUUGUUUUGCUUUUUGAAUCUAUGAAGUUUUGAUGUGUUUUCUGUUUGGUUGUUUGUGAUUUUCACCAGUUGGAGACAGAGAACCAAACUCACACACAGAUUCUUGGAAGCCAAUUAGACUCUGGUUUUGUUUAGUUUGGAUAGUUGUAGAAAGAACUAAGCCAUCCAAUCCAACCCAUUCAAAGAUCUAAUAACGAAAGUAAUAACAUAAGCAAGCUAACACACCUAAUCAAUUGACAAAUAACAAUCAAUUAACCACAUAAAACCAAAUAAUUAAAUCUUUAAGACUACUUUCUGAAAUGCAACUCAGAAUUGAGAACUAUGUAAAGAAUUUGGGGGAAAUGAACA